GUGCUUUCAGCAGUACAUAUACAAAAAUUGGGACAAUACAGAGAAGUUUAGCAUGGUCCCUGCUCAAGGAUGACACACAAAUUCAUGAAGCGUUCCAUAUUUUU